UCCGCCGUUUCUCUCUCCAUUUCUAUUCUUUAAGCUCUGCAACAAUGGCGAUUGAGUGAAGGAGAGAUUUCUAUUAAAAGCUUAAACAAGUAACUGGUUAUGGAAAACCCCAGUUUUCUUACAAGAGAACGUCACGAUGUUUGCAAACAUAAUGAGGAAACAUGUGAAGAAUCCAUUUAGAAAUUUUAGGUUGAAAUUUGUGCUACUACUAAUAAGGUUAUUUUUUUGAUAAUUUGGGUGUGAACUGUGGUGAUUUAGAGGUCCAGUUUCUGGUACUGAAGAAAUGGGUAUUGAACUCUAUAGAGAAUUUGUGAAAAGUACUUUGGGGUGAAAAUUGUUUUGAUUAACUUGGCAAGGUACAUACUCAAGCUGUUGGCGUUGAUACAGUCGGGAAAGUGAUGCUGCUGCCGUUGUAUUUGAUAGUGAUGCUGCUGUUGUUGUAUUUUGAUACAGUCGGGAAACUGAUGCUGCUGUCGUUGUAUUUAAUUACUGCAAUCAUGGCGAAGAUUUUAUCCCAAAAGGAAGAAGAUAUACAUAUGCUUUUAGCUGCAGAUGCACAUCUCGGUACCAAAAAUGUGAAUUUUCAGAUGGAGAGAUACUUUUUUAAGAAAAGAGCCGACGGAUGGAGUGCGCACAUUUAACAACUUCCUACGCGAAGGGCUAAUCGAAUAUCUUGACGUUAAUGAACAGAACAAUGCAUUGAUUGCUUUAUAUGAAGGGGAACCAAAAGAAGAUAUCACUCGUAUAGAAAUUGAAGCUUUCAUGAUCUUGGAUGUUUGUGCUGGGCUAAUUCCAUUUCCUCUCCACUAUCUACACUUUUUGCCGGUCGAUUUUAGCUUACAUGUUCAAUUUCUCAACAAAAUGUUCUAAUUAAAUUCGAUGGUUUUGCAGAUGUUGAUGGUGGUAGAAGUAGACCAAGCUGUUGUUGGUGCUGCUGUAGUGGUUUCGAUGAUGUUGAUAGAGGUUCUUAUGUUUAUUUUGAAGAUGUUGAUGGAGGUGGAUGGUUUUGCUGCGAUGAUUUUGCAGAUGCUAUGGGUGGUGGAAAUGGACCAAAUGGCUGUUGCUGCUGCACUGUCCAUGGCGUUCAGAACACAAAAGGUCCGCCAUUUCAGAUCCAGGGUUUAGGUGCAGAUGGUGCCAUAUGCGUCUAACUGUGGUUAGUUACUUGAGUUAUAAGGGAAGGGUAUAUAUGUAAGAAUUUGGGACUGUUUUUUUCAAAACUGUUAGAUCUGAUGGAAGAUGACUAUUUUGUAAUUGAAAUUGAAAAGUAUGACUAUUUUGUAACCCAAUUACAAAAAGUAUGACCAUUUGAUUGCAAAUUGAUGUAAUCUUAACAUCACUUUCAAGAAAACAA